rnacentral:lncRNA from 1 species
CUGAAACCCUGGCCUCACCCUUCCCUUCUGCUACCUACAAAAGCCCCCUGACAUAGCACUCUUGUCAUACUGAGACUAAGGUAGAAAAAGACACUUCCAAAGGGUGUCAAUGACAAGAGAGAAAUAGACAUAGAGUGGUCACUUCAUUUACCAACCCUGGAACCGCAGACCUCUGGGCUUCCUGACGAAAGCUGCCCACCAAAUAUGAACAGAUAGGAACCUCGUGAUCUUUUGGGGCUGUCAUCCUUCUCUCAGUCUGCCAGUAACUGGGAUCCUGGCAUUUAUCCUGGAGGUCCCUGAAGGUCCAAGAGGGAACAGAGGAAAUCUGAUUGGCACAGGAGGAAGAGUUGGAAGAAGAAGAGCGAUAGAUAGAGAGAGGAGACAACAAGGUCCCUCUGGGACAGGCUGAAUUCCAGAUGUCUGUGGGACACUAGGCCAUUGGCUAUGGUGGUCUGAGACCCUAAACAGGGGCCUGGGAUAGGGUUUUAGUCUGGUCACCAUGUACACACGGAGGCAGGGUAUAGAGUGAGAAGAUGGGAUGAUUGAAAGGCCUGGGACACGAGCCAGGGAAACGCAGGAUAGAAAUGACUGGCAGAGGCUGGGCACGGUGGCUUACGCCUGUAAUCCCCACACUUUGGGAGGCCGAGGUGGGUGGAUCACUUGAGGCCAGGAGUUCAAGACCAGGCUGGCCAACGUGGAGAAACCCCAUCUCUACUAAAAUACAAAAAAUUAGCGGGUCAUGGUGGCAUGCACCUGUAAUCCCAGCUACUCAGGAGGCUGAGGCAAGAGAAUCUCUUGAAUCCUGGAGGCAGAGCUUGCAGUGAGCUGAUAUCACGACACUGCACUCCAACCUGAGCGACAGACCAAGACUCUGUCUCAAAAGAAAAAAAAAAAAAAGAGGUGACUGACAGAGAAUGACCCCAGCAAAGGACCAGAGAAGGAGCAGUCCACGGAGGACCACUUGGAGAGGGUGGGUGGGGGGAAACCCAGCUCACAGGAGAAGGUGUGGCCGAUGGUGUGGCAUGCUGCUGAAAGGCCAGAUAAAGAAAAUGGGUACGGCCAAGACCAUAGACCUAGUGAUUGUCAGAUGAACAAUUAGACCCACAGAACCAUCCAAGCUACAGAGGACGCAUUCUGCCUUCCCUUGGAUCCUGUGGUUUGAGGAUGGAGGUCUAGGACCGUGGCAGGCUUUUUGUCCCAUGAGGGAAGGCCAUGGAGCUGAGGAAGGGGAAGAACACACACACCUAAUGGAAUCUCGAGAGAAAGUUCAGACAUCAAAAGACAGAAGCGACAGAGACCCAGAUGGAGUCUCACCCAGCCUGGAGUACAGUAGUAUGAUCUGCAACCUUUGCCUCCCAGGUUCAGGCGAUUCUCCUGUCUCAGCCUCCGGAGUAUCUGGGAUUACAGGCACGUGCCACCACGCCCGGCUAAUUUUUUGUAUUUUUAGUAGAGAUGGGUUUCACCGUGUUAGCCAGGAUGGUCUCGAACUCCUGACCUCGUGAUCUACCCGCCUUGGCCUCCCAAAGUGCUGGGAUUACAGGCAUGAGCUACCGUGCUCGGCCAUGCCUGGCUAAUUUAUAUAUACAUAUAUAUAUAUAUAUAUAUUUUUUUUUUUUUUUUUUUUUUUUUGAGACAGAGUCUUGCUCUGUCACCCAGGUUGGAGUGCAGUGGCAUGAUCUCGGCUCACUGCAAGCUCGCCUCCCAGGUUCACGCCAUUCUCCUGCCUCAGCCUCCUGAGUAGCUGGGACUACAGGCGCCCGCAUGACGCCCGGCUAAUUUUUUGUAUUUUUAGUAGAGACGGGGUUUCACUGUGUUAGCCAGGAUGGUCUCGAUCUCCUGACCUCGUGAUCUGCCCACCUCAGCCUCCGAAAGUGCUGGGAUUACAGACAUGAGCCACCGCACCCAGCCUUAUAUAUAUAUUUUUUAUUAGUGAAGAGGUUUCGCCAUAUUGGCCAGACUGGUCUCGAACUCCUGACCUCAGGUGAUCCACCCACCUCGGCCUCCCAAAGUGCUGGGAUUACAGGUGGGAGCCACCGCACCCUGCCUAAAAUGCAAAAGAUUUUGAAUGGCGAGAAUGGCGACAUGAUGCCACAAGUGGAAAAUUCCACACCUGGCUGCAUGUAAUGGGUUGAAGUCAAAAUGCAGUCAAAAACUUUGUUUCAUGUACAAAAUUAUUAAAAACAUUGUAUAAAAUCACCUUCAGACUAUGUGUAUGUGAAACCUAAGUGAAUUUAAUGGCUAGACUUCAGUUGCAUUCCCAAGAUCUCUCAUUAUGUAUAUGCAAAUAUUUUGAAAUUCAACCUGGUUCCACACAUUUUAGAUAAGGGAUACUCAAGCUGUAAUUAACAAAUAAACUUUUCACAGUCCAAGCAGCCAAAGGCCCACUGUCCCUGUUCCCUCAGCUCACGCCCCCUUCCGUGCACAGCCUUAUCUAAU